GGACAACAGAGAACAUGCUGAGCUGCUUCUCCACUUCAAGAGGCUGCAACCUCAGGACCCCAGGUAGAGAAAAUAUCUGUGAAAGACUGAGAAGAUGGCUGACUCCAUCCAGAUGCCACAGGCCAUGCUGCAGCAGCCACAUGACUGUCACAGACACCCCAGGGAUAGUCUCCCCAGGAGUGACCACCAGUGACCUACCAAAAUCAAGACUGGGCAAUCAGAAGAUGCAGAAGGUAGAAUUUGAAAGUGCUAGCUUUGAGGAUCAGAAUUAUAUGUAUCCACAAGCCAAAGAAUCUUCGCAGACACAAGAAGCUUGAAGAGACAGAAAAGAAUUAUUCCUUAGAGACCUAAUGGAAAUGUGGACAAGAGAGCACACUGAUUUCAGCCCAGUGAAACAGACUAGAAC
ensembl:lncRNA